GACGAACGCUGGCGGCGUGCUUAACACAUGCAAGUCGAACGGAAAGGCCCUGCUUUUGUGGGGUGCUCGAGUGGCGAACGGGUGAGUAACACGUGAGUAACCUGCCCUUGACUUUGGGAUAACUUCAGGAAACUGGGGCUAAUACCGGAUAGGAGCUCCUGCUGCAUGGUGGGGGUUGGAAAGUUUCGGCGGUUGGGGAUGGACUCGCGGCUUAUCAGCUUGUUGGUGGGGUAGUGGCUUACCAAGGCUUUGACGGGUAGCCGGCCUGAGAGGGUGACCGGCCACAUUGGGACUGAGAUACGGCCCAGACUCCUACGGGAGGCAGCAGUGGGGAAUAUUGCACAAUGGGCGGAAGCCUGAUGCAGCAACGCCGCGUGCGGGAUGACGGCCUUCGGGUUGUAAACCGCUUUCGCCUGUGACGAAGCGUGAGUGACGGUAAUGGGUAAAGAAGCACCGGCUAACUACGUGCCAGCAGCCGCGGUGAUACGUAGGGUGCGAGCGUUGUCCGGAUUUAUUGGGCGUAAAGGGCUCGUAGGUGGUUGAUCGCGUCGGAAGUGUAAUCUUGGGGCUUAACCCUGAGCGUGCUUUCGAUACGGGUUGACUUGAGGAAGGUAGGGGAGAAUGGAAUUCCUGGUGGAGCGGUGGAAUGCGCAGAUAUCAGGAGGAACACCAGUGGCGAAGGCGGUUCUCUGGGCCUUUCCUGACGCUGAGGAGCGAAAGCGUGGGGAGCGAACAGGCUUAGAUACCCUGGUAGUCCACGCUGUAAACGGUGGGUACUAGGUGUGGGGUCCAUUCCACGGGUUCCGUGCCGUAGCUAACGCUUUAAGUACCCCGCCUGGGGAGUACGGCCGCAAGGCUAAAACUCAAAGGAAUUGACGGGGCCCCGCACAAGCGGCGGAGCAUGCGGAUUAAUUCGAUGCAACGCGUAGAACCUUGCCUGGGUUUGACAUGGAUCGGGAGUGCUCAGAGAUGGGUGUGCCUCUUUUGGGGUCGGUUCACAGGUGGUGCAUGGCUGUCGUCAGCUCGUGUCGUGAGAUGUUGGGUUAAGUCCCGCAACGAGCGCAACCCUUGUUCACUGUUGCCAGCACGUUAUGGUGGGGACUCAGUGGAGACCGCCGGGGUCAACUCGGAGGAAGGUGGGGAUGACGUCAAGUCAUCAUGCCCCUUAUGUCCAGGGCUUCACGCAUGCUACAAUGGCUGGUACAGAGAGUGGCGAGCCUGUGAGGGUGAGCGAAUCUCGGAAAGCCGGUCUCAGUUCGGAUUGGGGUCUGCAACUCGACCUCAUGAAGUCGGAGUCGCUAGUAAUCGCAGAUCAGCAACGCUGCGGUGAAUACGUUCCCGGG
rnacentral:rRNA from 1 species